rnacentral:rRNA from 1 species
UACAGAGGUCUCAAGCGUUGUUCGGAUUCAUUGGGCGUAAAGGGUGCGUAGGCGGCGCGGUAAGUCGGGUGUGAAAUCUUGGAGCUUAACUCCGAAACUGCAUUCGAUACUGCCGUGCUUGAGGACUGGAGAGGAGACUGGAAUUUACGGUGUAGCGGUGAAAUGCGCGGAUAUCGGGAGGAACACCGGUGGCGAAGGCGGUUCUCUGGGCCUGACCUGACGCUGAAGAGCGAAAGCGUGGGGAGCGAACAGG